AUAAUAUUAGAACUCAUAUUUUUAAUAAUUUCUAACAAUUGGUUUUCAAAUUAUUUAGAUAAAUUAAAUACUUAACAAAUCAAAUAAUUUAUAAAACAACGAAAAUAAAUAGAACUUAUUUUUACAGGUUUAAAAACUACAAAACAUUUCAAUCAGUAAUUAAUUAAUUAAAUUAACAGAUAAUUUUAUUUAUAUUUACUAAAUAAGGGUUAUAUGAUUUACCUAAGUAACAUAAUAAUUCAAUAAUAGCCAUUACAUAAAUAUACACACACACAUAUAUAUAUAUAUAUAUAAACGCUAUACAUUGUACAAUAUAUAUAAUAACAAAAAUAAUUAUGAAAAAUGUUCAAAAUAUAACUUAUCUAAAGAAAAUGCUUAACGCUAAUUGUUAACAACAAAUUUAAACCGAUUAUAAUAUAAAUUAUUAACAAUAUAAAUUACAAAAAACAAUUAUAAUAAAAUUAAUUUAGCUAUAUAAAAAGGAGUAAUAUGAUCAAGACAUAUUUAUAGCUGUUAAUUAUUUUAUAUCUAUCAUUUUCUGUAUCAAAAUUCUGAAGAAACGUCAUAAUUUCAUAAAAUGCAAAACAAUGAACUUUAAAAUUUGGAUUAAAAGUUGACAAAUCAUGAAACUAUAAAAAUUUAAAUCAAAUUGGAUUAUAUAUCGGUCAUCCAUAGGUUAAAUCGGUUACGAAUUUUAGUGAUUUUUUAAAUAUGGAUAUUUUUUGAAACCCUAAAUCGAAUACAGAUCACCGUAUAAACAUUUUUGACCGCGGGUUCAGGUCAAAUUUAAAAGCAUUGAUUUAAAUGCAAAAAUAUUUUAAAUACAUAAAAUCCUUCCAAAUCAAGCUAAAGUGUAAUCCAACUCCUUUAGCUUGAUAAUCACACUAACAGCUGAUUCUCUCAACUCAGACCAAACGUCUGCGCCCACAUUUUCUUCCACAGUUUGAAUGUUGGAUAGAAAACAACUGUGGUUCAUGCUCCUGUUUUGAAUAGGCGUUUUCCUAAUCUCGUAAAGCCGUGGAGGAUACUUCCUAUUACCCGAAGAUGAAGCCACUCCUUUAAAAAAGCAAAGAGAACAAACUUAAUAAAUAUUAUUCAUCCCCAUAAUAACAUAAAAAUUUAGAAUUCAGCAUCACAAAAGUAGUAGAACAAGAACAAGAAUAAUCAGACAGCAUAAAGUUUAUUUUUUCAAAUUUUUUGAACACACAGAAAAGUAUAUCUAGAAACAAAAAAAAGACAAAUCAAAUUUUCAAUUUAGGAAUUACGUUUUUCAAAUUUCAAAUUGCAAUCAAUCCAAGUAUGAUAACAACAUUUCGAUUACCUUAGAUUUGGGCCUUACCGAUUCAAGUAACACAGAACUGAUCGCGGAAGUGACCGAUAGGGUUCGUCAAGAAUCUCCGAGGCGAAUUGAGUGACGAGGGAGGAGAAAGGAGAAGAAGCCGAUGCACAAUGGAGAAGACGAAAUUGAAGAUCGAAGAAUGGAGAAAGAGGUCUGGGAGAAGGAGUUGUCAGACCUCCUUUGGUGGGGGUUCUGUCGCUUUACAAAAGGGAAGAAGAACCCGUGUUCUAGGUUUUGUUGUCAACGAAAAGAGAACAGAUUAUUUUUGUUUCUUUUUCUUUUUCCUUUUGAAUUAAAAUCUAUUUUAUUAAAUGGCAUAUUAAAAAUUAAUGGCAAACUUGUGGUUAAUACUUCUUUUUUUAUUUUUUUUUAAUUGAAUGUUAAAUUUAAUUCAAAAGAAAAAGUUCUUUGCUUUACAUCAAGUGUAACUUGCUAUAGAAGAAACAAAAUCAAGACUUAUAUUCCUCAAACUCCUAACUUUCUUCUCCAAUCCAUCCUCAAAAGAUCUUCAUCUUGUGCUAAACCAAUAGACCAUACCUCCCUCAUACUCCUUAUCCCCUCUCUUCCUUAUUAUUGAUAGCUUGUUUCUCAUGUUCUUGUCAAUCAACUUAACCAACAAGCUCCCUGGUGACGGCGAUUCACCAUGCCUCCUCCUGUUUCUCUCUCUCCACACAGUGUGUACAGCAGCUUGAAGAAUAUAUCUCACCACAAAUAGCUUGAUUUUACCUUGGGUAUUAUCCAAAGCCGCUCGAGUAAUGCUCCUCCAAUUUGAUGUGUAAUGAGUACCCAUUACUCCCUUCAUCAACACCUCCCAGAUUUGAGAAGAAUAUGGACACUCAAAAAAUAAACGAGCCAAAGUCUCAAAAGGAUCUUGACAAAACACGCAAGCAGUGUCAACAUUUCCUCCCCAUCUGCUCAUUCUUUCUCCAGUAGUGAGUCUCUCUUUCAUUGCCAUCCAGAGGAUAAAUGAAAACUUUGGCGUAGCAUGCUUGAACCAAACCAUCUUGGACCAGAAACAUGAUAAAUGCUUCUCUCUAAUCACUUGCCAAGUUUCCUUUGAUAAGAAAGAUUUCUUAUAUACUCCUCUGCUAUUCCUCCAUAGUGAAACAUCCUCCUCUUCUGUUGCACUGGUUUUGAACCUUUCUAUCUCCUCUUCAACUCUAUUAAAAAUGGGAAAUCUGUGGUGUCUCCUUCGAUGCCGACUGCAUUCAGCAACUCUUGCAUCAAUCGAAACUCCCAUAUCAAUGUAUCCUCUGUCACAUAGUAGAUCUUUUAAACAACCCAAAGAAGACCAUGAUUCAUACCAGAAAGAGGUUUUUUUCUCCCAUUCUUCACCUCCACUCUGUACAUCUGCUUAGCCACUUCUCUACUUCAAAGGUUGGGUUUUUAGUAAAUUUGCCUAUUUUGAAUUACAAUCUAGUAAUUACAAAGUUAUAUGAGUUAUCUGAGUAAUUACUAGAAUGAUUUGAGCUAUUCCAAGUAAUUUAUUCUUUAUCUUUUCAGAAUUUCAUAGUUUUUGCAAAAUUAAGUUGGAUGAUACGCAAUUCAAAAAAUCUAUUGAAUAACUGUUUGUUCAUAUAUUGUUAUUGCAUAUUCAUUGUCUUUUCGAUUUUUUUUUUAAAUCUGAUAUUUAAUUGAUAGUUAUAAUUUAUUUCAUAUUCGUUUAAAAAUUCCAAAAGGCUUUCACUGAGAUACUUAUUCGCUUUCAUAAAACCAACGAUACAAAGACUGGAAUCCAGAUAGGAUAGUAUGGAUCGAUGAACAAAAGCCGAAAGAUAGGAUCCAACCUAAAUGUGGCCAGGAAAGUAGGGAAAUCCAGGAAGAAUCAAUAUUGUUACUUUCCGUAAGGGGUGGACAGACACAAUGAUAAGAAGGGGAAACAAGAAAGUAAAACGGAGAAGAGGCAAACCCGAAUCUCUGAGAAAACUAACGUAUUUAGACUUGGAAAAUUUUGAAAUCAGGCUCAAAAUUUCCAUAGGAAAGUACUAAGAAAUAAAAACGCCUUGAAAACUGCCACAGACUUUAGAGACCUUAUAAUCUAGGUGGAUAGUCUAGCGAACUAAGUGUUAUACGAUUUUCCCAAUCUCAUUCUAUUGUUCUUUAGCUGUUCAGGCAGAUCUUGUAAACCGAUCUAAUCUCUCGCACAACCAAGAAAGGAUAUCCAUGCAUUCAAGCAUACCCAUAUCGCUUACUAAAGAAAGAAAAAACUAGAGACAAGAACUUCUCAAAAUUGACACGUUCCUAGCAGUUUUCUUAAAAAGGCUGUUCCAAGUCGCUGACCAGAAACAACCAAAAAUCACUGUCCUAACGUCGUCUUUAAAUCGUCCCAUAUUAUCGAUCAUCCCAAAAUACAAAAUAUCAAAAAGUAUUUAAAAAUAGUCAUAUUUAUCCUUUUUAAAAAGAAAUCAUUCUUAGAAAAAUAUUUAACAAAAUUAUAAUAAAUAUAUUGUUGCAAAACAUUCGAACCCGCGAAAUCGCGGACAUCCACUUAGUAAUAUAUUUAUUUCGGCCGCUGCUUCAAUAAAAUCUCUUUAGUUUAGUUGUAUAAAUGUUUUUAUUUUCAAUCUCAACAAAUCAAAUUCGAGCCAAAGGUUGUUUAAUAUCGGCUUUUUUUUAUUAACUACCUUCUAGUCUUUACUAAACAAGGACUGAUACUGGAUCGCUUAAUUUUUUGGGAAAUUAGGCUGUAUAACCAAACAAAAACGUAUAAUUCACAGACUAACCAAUUUCUCUAACAGUCCUAUACACUAUGUUACUUUUCCAUAUUAAUAUUGUUUUGCCCUUUCUGUUAACCGGUGAAACCUGCAACCAAAAAGUAAUUAAAAAUCUUUAUUAUUAUCUGUAAAGGUAAAUCAUGGCUUGCCUCCCUUCACAUCUUACAUUUUCCUUCUCUUGGUAACUUCGUCGAAGUUGAAAGAUCUCCAGCACCGAGUGAAGAAACACCAUCACGUCCUUCUAAUUCUCUCAAUUUUUGACUUCUCCUACGUGAUUUGUAAUCACCUGAGAUACUCCACUUCGGAAAUCAUACGCUCCUGGCCGGCGAUAAAGCUGCAGGGAAGCCUAUCCACACCUCGUGUCUAUUCCACUUCCCACACUCGAUUCUACUCGGAUCUUUUCAACUACGGUAAGUUUUUUGUUUUUCCGCCCGAUUAUCUUCAUCUGCUGUUAUUUUCUUUUCCAUUUUGGCUAUACUCAGAACUAGGGUACUAUAAAUGUUAAAUACAACAUCAUCGACGGUGAAUGUCGGAUCUGCUUUAUGCGACUAAAUUCCACACUGUAUACUCGGUUGUGGUUUUCUGGUUGUUCGUAGCCUUUCUUAAAUUUUAUUUGUGUUUUUAUCUGAUAUGCAUAGUAAAAAUGUAGUAAUAUUGUUUUGAUAUGGAAUAACAUAUGUGUUACAUAUGGAUUUCACUGUCUGGAAAUGAAAUGAUCUCCGUUAGGUAUAUUCAAUUUGACUUGGAAUAGAAUAAAAUAUAGACGUUUAUUUUCCAUUUGACUUGGAACGGAAUAAAUUCAAACGUUUAAUAUCACCUUCUUUAGCUUCUGAAUUCAUACUUGUAUUUAAUAUUUAUGUAUUUAAUAUUUGUAUUAGGGUUUAUAUUUCCAUGUAGGGUUUAGUGCUGAUUGGAGAAGGGUUAAUUUUUUGAAUAUUGAGUUCGUCGUUGCAAGAUUGGGGUUGACAUUGGAUUAAGUGUCAUAUUUCCGUGUAGGGUUUCGUGAUUAGUUGAUAGGGUUUCGUAUAUAUUUUCAUGUGUGGUUUAAGAUCCUGAGCUAUGCAUAUCGUUACGUCUUACAUGGAUUCCAUUCCACAUUAUUGUUAUACUAUACAAUUUAUUUCAUAUUUACUUUGUUAUAUGGAUCAUAACACCUUUAUCUUUCGCUUUUGUUUCUCAGGUUACAAAUGGAAGAUUUAAGCUACCAAGUAGAUUGUUCGAAACUGGAUUUGAGCCACCUGGUGAAUAUCUUCUCAUUUAUAUGUAAUGAUGCAAUGUGUAUAUAAGUAGAAUAGAUCGUGUGUAUGUAAAAUGAAAAGACCAUUCAUGUGAAAUGGAAUAAGUGAUCUUUACUAUUUGUCAUAUUCUAUUCUAUUUGCAAAACAGAGAAUAAAAAUAUGAUUGUACAAUGCAAGUUAUGUUUUGUUGUUGUAUCAUUGCUAUGAAUCUUAGUUUAUGCAUAUUGAUCAAAACUAAGAAUUUAAAAUUCAAUUUUAUCAUUUCGUUAACCAGAUCCACAUAAGUGUAAACUUCAUACAAAUUUCGUUAACCACAAUUACAUUUGUUGUUUGGGUUUAGGGUUUAUAUUUGAGUUUAGGGUUUAGUAAAUAAAGUUUAAGGUUUAGAAUUCAUAUUUGGAUUAUGGUUUAGUGAUUAGAGUUUAGGGUUUUGGAUUAGAAGGUGAAGGUGUAUGGUUGGGAUCAUCAUUAAUUUUGUCCACGUAAUCAUAGACAUUUCAUAAUUUCACUAAUAUAUACUAUGUUAUUAAUUUUGUUCUAUUAUAUUUGGGUUAGAGUUCAUAUUUGGAUUUAGGAUUUAUAUUUGGGUAAGGAUUUAGUAAUUAUAAUUUAGAGUUUAGUAUUUAAGGUUGAGGUGUGAUUGGGACAAAGUUUAGUAUCUAGGGUUUAGGGUUGGGAUAUGUUUAGUAUUACGGAUUGUAGGUGAAGUUAUAAUCCUAUACUACUUUGGUUAUAUGGAAAUAGAACAUUCGAUGUAUAUGUAUGUGACUAAUAAAGUUGUAACAUGGAUGACUCCUUCUUUCUAAUGAAAUAUGUUUACACAUAUUUGACUAUGUAUUACAUAGACUAUGUGGACACACAAAACACAUUUUUACUGGAUAAUGGCAUAGAGAAAGGGUAUAACCGGAUGAAUUAGGGUGUAAAUGUUAGUUUCUUCAUUAUAUCAAAAUCAUUGUCACUUACCUAAUCUGUCUUCUAAAUAUGGCUAGUUGGCAAAUAAACCCUAGUUUUUUCUCAAGUGUUGGAGUAGGUGUAUAUACUUAUAGCUGUAUACUCUCAUAUUUUGAAAACAUUUUGUCUUAACAUUAAAAAAUCUCUUUAGACAACUCAACGCCUAGCCAAUGUUUACAACCACAAGACUUAAGCAAUCCAAAGGCACAUGACUGUCUAAGAUUCCUCUAAACACUAGCAACAACCAAACUUUCAAGCAUUCAAGUCUUAACACAACAACUGUUAAGGCAACAUUACGCCAAGACAACCUGGAUAAUUGUGAUAUAGCUUGACAAUUAUCUUAGUCUUAAAACGUAAAGUCUUUUUGAUAUGAUCCUGAUCCAACUAGAAAACAAUACGACCAUGGUCAAAAGUUCAGAUGGCGAAUGAAGACAAACCAGAAAACAAAACAAGCAUGGACAAGUUCGGGUGGUCAAAGGUUCAGAAAAAUGAAAUCAAUGUUCAAGAUGAUAUGAACCUAGAAGACACAAGGGCAUCAGAACGUGGAAAUGAGCUUGAACAAAAGGAGCGGCUUGAACCAGAGGAUGAGCUUGUAUCUGAGGAUGCUCUUAUCACAUCAGUUGCUCCAAUGACUCGAGCAAGAGCUAAGAAGUUUAGCCAACCAAUAGGAGGAAUGCUCAAAGAAAUAGUGAUCCAAACUAAUCAAGACAGCAAGUAUGAAGGUAAAGCUUGUCAAACCACUUUGGUUCUACUUUUUUUUCCUUAUCAAGUUUUUUCCUACUGGGUUUUCUUGACAAGGUUUCACUUCAUCAUAGCCCGUUUGUUGAAUCUAGAAGCCCAAGGCAUGUCUUCAAUCAUCAGCCAAGUCCAAGGGAAGAAGAGAUUUAGAUAAAAUUUUAUAAGGUUUCUUUGUUUAAGGGAUGGAUUAUCAAUUUUAUAAUUGGGGAUAACAAUUGUUCAUUGGAACUGAGAAAAGUUAUGAUCUUAGAUUAAAAAGUUUACAAGAUUGAGUUUCUUCACUUAAUUAAUCUGUCACUGUGUGUGAAUUAGUUGUUUUCUGAUUGAAAUCAAUUCUUUCUCCGUGAGCGAUAAUUUGAUCUAAAAGUCAUUACUUUGUUAAUGUUUAUGAAUGAUUAUUUUGUUGAUGUUUAUGAGUUAGCCGUCUACAAUGAUUGAAUUUUCUUUUGUCAGUUUUGAUCUGAAGUUUCUUUGAUUUGAAUUCAGAGGCCAUCCUUUUCUCUGGUUUACCUUUGUUAGUAUGUUGGGAUCGAAAGAUUCUUGUUGUUCAACCCAAAUUGGCAACUUUUUCUCGUUAAAAAUUAAACGAGGAUCAAAGUCGGUUCAAAUCAGAUCGGCGCAAAAAUUGAGCAGAAGGAAUCUCAUUCUCAUAAAAAUCUAGUUUGAAAAUUGUCUCUACCUUUUCUAUUUUCAUGAUUUUCUUGUUAUUAUUAUACGAUUUCCUGCAAACUAGUGUUAGAUUCGUUUCAAAAAUAAGGGGCAAGUUGAAUAGAAAGAAAAUAGUCAAAUGCAACUGAAAUGAAUAGUUUGAAAUUUGACUAAUAGUUACUAUUGUAUUUCUUACACGAUUUACAAGAUAAGACAAUGUAAACAAUUUGCUGGACUUUUGUUGCUAAAGAGUAAACUCAGUCUUCUGAAACUGUAAUCGUUCUUCAUCUUCAUCGUAGUUGAAUGAUAAUGGAACAGAUUUGAAUGCUCUAUAUUUCCCAACAUUGUUCAAAUGCAUGUUCUCUAAUCUGUUUCCCACGCUCACAAAAAAAAAUAGAGAGUUACUAACUUAAUAUUGACAGAAGACAACAUGUGGAAUCAGUGAUAUGAGUUUUGAAGUAAUUUUCUACCUGAAGAAAUUCCAUAUACCAACAAAUGAUUUCAAUACUAGCAACAAUGGUAACAUUGCUUGUCUAUGCAUGAAGGAGAAGUUUAAAUUUAGAACCGUCUGAAUCCACGCAAAUGUCAUCAUGACAUUCAAAAUCUGACACAUGUUCUAAACAUCGGUUACAAUGAAACAUGUUUUGAUGUAGUGAAUAUAGUUAUGGUCAGUGCCGUACGUACUAUUCUGGGGAUCAAGACAAUUAAGACAAUGUUUUGCGGACAUCAAAUUACACUUAAUAUAAAAGUAAGAUACAUUUUAUAUUAUUUUCAUGAGGUUUUAAAACUGUUGUUGUAUCAAAAUAAUAUAUUUAAAAUUGAAUAUUUAUGUGAUAUCAAAGUUGCUUAUUACUAAUUUCAGUAUAUAAAAUAUAACUGUAAAGUUAAAUUUUUAUGGUAAACUCAUAAAAUAUAAUUAGGUAUAAAAUUACUAAAAUAAUUCGAUGCUGACAAAAAAAAUCGAUAAAAUAUGCAAAAAAACAACAAAAUCAUGACUAUAGAGUCAUAGACGGCAUCGUUCUGAGGAGUUUCACUUUGACGAAAAAAGUUCAACUUAAACAACUUUCCAUUUUGUUGACCGAAGAAAUAUAUAACCAAUGUGGGUGUGGGUGGCUGAGUUAUGCGAACAGCUAACAAAUCCCCUCCCCAAAACGAACAAAAAUUGGAGGCAAUAUGAGACAAAUAGAUGACUCAAGAGAGAAGAAAAAAAAAGGGUUAAACUUGUUUCAAAAGAAGCCAAUGACAUCAUCUCACUUUUACUGCAUCUACUUCGUAGACAAGCCACAAAUUCUUAGGCACAUCUUCCUUCUUCAGUCCUUCCUCUGAGUAUCUGUUCGUAUCACAAGAGAAACAAAAACAGGUUAGUUUGUAGUAAAUAUUAUGCUGAACAUGAAUCAUCUAAAGACAUAAUAAUCAACUGACAUACCCAAGAGAUGGUGGAAUUAUGAGUCUUCUCUUAUCACCAGCUCGCAUCCCUGAGAGAAUUAUAGAGAUUCAUCCAUUUCUUUUUAAUAUUUAUAAAUUCAGUUGAAACAACCUUACUGGUUAAAACAUCAUACAAUACCUUCAACACCCUUACUGAGACCUUUUAUGACAAAUAUCUAAAAUAUUUUUUACCUAAGCGAAAUCUUAAUGGAGCUUCUUCCAAGUUUGAUUCAAACACUUUCCCAGUGUCUUUCAAGUUCCCAGUAUAGAGUGUGAUGACCUGAAACAGCCAAACAGGACUUGAGACAUCAUCAUCCAUAUUUUCAUAUGACUUGGAUGUAAAAGAAAUACUCACCCUUUUUCCUUACACAGCUACUUUACCAUCUAACUCGCCUUUUUCAAUCUCUUCAAAAGUCACCUCAUUUGAAGAAAUCUCUGAUUCCGGUAGUUUAUUAGUACUAGCUUCUUUCUCCAAGUUCCUAUUCAUUAUGAAAAUAAAAAAAAAAAUCGUAUCUGACAGAUCUAUUAAACAAAAGAGAGACAACUCUUUAGCAGAAGCUUGUCUCACUUUUCGAUAGCUUGUUUCUUCCCCCCUGUAGUCUCCUCUCUUUAGCAGAAGCUUACCAGACAUGACAUCUCUGAAUAGUUGGUACCAUUCUGGCUUAUUCCAACUUCGUGACUUCUUAGUUUGAGUUACCCACACCACCAGCAGCAUAUCAAGCACACGAAGCACCAUGCAUCAACCUUUCACUCUUUUGCAGCCUUUCAUUCUUCUUGGUAAGGAUGAGGUCAUCUACAUAUUUUGACUGGCCAUCCUUCGAAGACGAAGUAUGGCAGUGUUACUACUUCGACAUCAAGUCUUAUGAGGCAGCCUUUGAAGAACCACCUAACGAUAGCUACCAAGUGUUGUGGAGUCCUAGACUUGGUAGAUUGUUGACGCUAAGUAUUUUUUCCUCGGCUUGAAUUCUAACUCACCCUCUUCUUUUUGUUUUGCAGUUAUUCAUCCCAAUACUAUCGCAUAUCCGGUAGAGUUAUUUCUGAACGCUCUUAGGGUUGUUGCUCUUAGUCAUCAGAAUUGGUCAGGAUUUGACUGCACGAGGAUCCAAAGGUAAAAGAGACGUAUUGCGAAAGGUACUCUUCCUCAGCCUUAGAACUUUUAUUCAGAUUUUUUAAUUUUGCUCGUUUUUUGGAUUUCUGCUUGGCCUAUCAGUUUUGACUUGUCUUGUUUUUACAGUCGAUUAGCGAUCUGAUAUCCCUUGUGUUGCGACUGCUGGUAAGAGACUGAGACGCGUACCGAGUAAAAACAGCAGGAAGAGCAAGAAGAUGAAGACGACUCCAGGUUACAGUUCUCGCCUGGGUGAAGAGCUAAACUUGGAGAUAUGAGUCCCCAUGACUAUACUCGAUGGGAUGGAGUCGGAAACUUUGGCAACCUUGGCUCCGGUUACAAAGACUAUCCAAGCUGAGAACGUCAAAGUCAUAGGGGUCGAUCAGGUUUUUGAGGCCUCGAGGUCCAAGAAGAAGAACAAAGGCAAGUCUUCUAAGAUAUUGAGGGCCGAUCGUGUUGCCGAGGGAGCAGAUCAGUUUGAUGGUGCCCAAUCAGUAGGGGAUAGAAAUAAUCAAGGGGAGAUUCUCGAGACCAACCGAGAGAGUCCUGCCAAGGAGAGGCAGAAGAAGAAGAGGUCUGUCGAGAAGCGGCAAAAUAAAUUAUCUGAAAAUGGACUAAGAGAGCCUGUCGGGAUGGACAAGAUGAUCAAGUCGAAGAGUUGGUCCAGCCUUUGUCGUCUACGAGCUCCUAUGACCCCAUUAUUCAUCUACAUCUUUGUCAGAUAUAAAAAAUAAUGAAUAAAAGAGAAAGAAAAUAAUGGAUAAAACUUGACCAAAAAGGAAAAACUAGAGAUGAAAGGGAUUAGGAAAGACUGCAUGUGUGUUCCGAAACCUACUGGGGUAAGAGUCCAUGUCUUCAGUGAUCGAUAUUCCGAAGAUAAACCCUACACAAUUAUCUUAGAAAUGAGGUCAGUAUAUUGGUAUAUCAGAUGGUGUCUAGCGAGAUGCGGGCUGGAUGGUCAGGUUGCACACCUACGGCUAGGACAUGGAAGUACCUAUAAAGUUGCUACCUAUAAAGUUGGUACCGAUUAGAUGUGGCUUGCCACACUGUAGAAAUGAUGGUGGUAGUUCUAAAGAAAAUUGAAUCCCUGCAUUUUCAACCAUCUUCCACAGGUUCUUUCGAAAAAAUAUUUGAAAAAAAGAUUUUUAAAAAAAGUACCAAACACAAAAACCUAUUAAUUAUUCAAAAAUUAGACAAUUUAAAUAGAAAUUUUAUAUAUUUACCGAUUUAAAGUACCUAUAAAGAUGGUACCGAUAAUUUUUUUCAUAUAUUUAAAUAAUUAUGUAUAUUUCAAUUUAUAUAUAUAUAUAUAUAUAAAUAUAAAGUAACAAUAAAAGGUUUUUUUUACCUCUUUUAUUGAACUUCUUUUGAUCAUUUUCUUCUUUGUGGGGUUUUUGGUGAAAAAAACUAUCAAUACUAUUAAAAGGGAAGGAGUCCUAAAAAAUCAAUUUAAAAAGGUUGUUGCACCCUUUCAUUUAACUAAUACAUUUGGUCUUACCUAACUGUAACUAUACAUGAUGCUUUUAUUUAUUAGUCGGCAUAGUGGACCAAAGUUUUUGUUUAAAUAAAACCCAGUAGAUGUUCAUUUUUUUGGACUAAUCAAUUAUUUUAGAAAUUUAUUUUAUUGGUCCAUAUCUAAAAAGGCUAUAAUGUGUAGAGAUAAUUAUUUUAGAUAAAAGUCUACGCACUUAAGCCCAAAACACUGACAAAACCAAGAAAAAAAACAAAACAUAUGUUGUAAAUGUGUAUUAUAAUUUAACCCACAAGUUGAUAUUAAAUAUCCCAAUAUUUAAAGUUCCAAAAUAAAUUUAUUUAAAUACAUAGAAAAACAAAUUUAAAGAAAUUUGUUUUUGAUAAACACACUUUUUUGAAACAAACUCUUAAAACAAAACUAUAAGUAUUAAGUUAACCUAAUUUGUAUAAAAGUUAUUUAUAAUUAAAAAUUAUUAUUUUAAAAUAAAUUGAAACUAUUAAAAACCGUACAAACCUUUAUUAUUACAUAAAGCCAAAAUCAUAAAUCUCAUGUCCCGAUAAUUCAACAAAUAAUGUAAAUCUUAUAGGUAGAAAAAAAAUAUAUAAUAAUAUUGUUAUAACAUAAAAAAAUCUCAAAUAUAAAUUCAUAAAACUAUAAUUCAAAACAAAAAAAAUUCUUCUUCGAUAUAAAAUGACUUUAUAACAUAAAAAUGUACAACAAAACUAAAAUACGAAUUCAUAUUAUACACUGUUUACAUACCAUCAUAUAAUAUAGGGUCUUAUAGAGUCAAACAAUAUCAGAUCCCAAAUUAAUGAUUGGUUUUGAGUUUUGAACGGGAUUUAUCAGGUUUUAUGUAUCAGGUUUUAACUAAAUCUAGAUAGUAAUAUAUACAAGUCACUGGAUUUAUUGGUUUGACUGCGGGUCUAGAUCGGGUACGGAAACACUUCUAAAACUAUUAAAAACCCUACAAAUGUAUAUUAUUAGAUCAGCCCAAAAUCCAAAAUCUAGCAAGCAAAUCUUAUGUUUUACCAGCUGAACAAAUGUAACUUUUAUAAAAUGCACACAAUAUAAAAAUGACGUUAUGACAUAAAAGUGUACAUACAAAAUCUCAAAUAAACUAACUGAUAAGUUAAUAUAAUUUACACAAAAAGAAAUAUUUUCUUCACUAAUAUAAUAUAACUUUAUAACUUGAAAAUGUACUUCAAAACCAAAAUACUAAUUCAUAUCAAACAAUUUAAUUACCCGAAAAAAAAAGCGCGGGUCAAAAUCUAGUUUUACAUUUAUUUGAGAGAAUUGACCUAAUUUUAAUUUAGUUCACAACUAAUUUUCAGUUACACAUAUUUGUUUACAUGAAUUUUGAUGAGACUUAAAGUGAAUACAUUGCAGGUGGGUUUUAUGUUUGAAAUUAUAAUGAAGUAUUGAUAAAACUUUCCUUACAAAGUUUAAUUCCAUUUGAAAAUUAAUAAAUAGCUUUUUCCUAUUCUUAGUUGCCAAAAACUAACUUUUCUAAAAUAAAAAAUUAAAACCUUUAUUAUUAAGAUAAUAGUAACUUAUAAGGCAACAAACUGCUCAAAAAAAGUAAUUUCUGAUUAACUUUCAAGAAAAAUGUUAAAAAAAAAAAUUAUAUUGUUUAUCUUUUCAGAAUUUCAUAGUUUUUGGAAAAUUAAGUUGGAUGAUAUGCAAUUUAAAAAAUCUAUUGAAUAACUGUUUGUUCAUAUAUUGUUAUUGCAUAUUCAUUGUCUUUUCGAUAAUUUUUUUUUAAAUCUGAUAUCUAAUUGAUAGUUAAAAUUUAUUUCAUAUUCGUUUAAAAAUACCAAAAAGCUUUCACUGAGAUACUUAUUCGUUUUCGUAAAACCAACGAUACGAAGACUGGAAUCCAGAUAAGAGAGUAUGGAUCGAUGAACUAAAACCGAAAGAGGCCAUCGGUUGAUUCACUAAACAAACAAACCGAAGUAUUCCUUGGCCACAAGGUCAAACGAAACCUUCACGCCAAAUGCGAAAAAACUUCUCUAACACGUUCUCAUAACGUAAAAUUUUAUUUGAAAGAAAAUUCAGUCUUUAGUGCCGCGAGACGUCGCAGAUACUCGAAGAACCAGAUUUCGACGUAAAAUAUCUUCCUAGAUGAAAGUUCUGUCUCGGAAACUCAAACAGUAAUAUGGACUAACAUCUUCUCAAACACACAUCCUUCACGAAGGCUCAAACUCAAAUGGUAACACUUACCAUUCCGUUUGUUGCUGAUCACAACAAACAAACUCCAACGUCCUAAAAAGACUUAGUCAUCGUCCCCCCUCCCCCCCCCCUCCCUAAUAGAGAUAAGCUCUCAAACAUCUGACACACGGAUAAUUGUGCGUUAUAAAAGAAAUCUGAAAUUUUGGUCAGCACUUCCAAACGACUUCAAAUUUUCUUUGGAAAGAUGCUCGGUCCUUGCAAGUCACAUAAGCCGAGGACUUUUCGCAGACAACAAUAUUGAGACAGAAUCAGGUCAAAACCGCAAUGGAUGAUUUAAGCCAAAACAGUCAUUACAAACCCUAAACUGAUAGUAAGCCUAGGUCUUGCGCCUAAACCCAUCACACUGGUCUUACACAUCUGAAGGCAUAGUAUCAACAGACUGAUACGAGAUUCCAAUAUAAGUCAUAUUUGCUUAUAUUUGUACGUUUAUAAGACUCCGCAAACUAAAAGCCUUCGAGUGUUCUCAUCUUGAACAACAACAAGUAUAACGAUCCACUGAGCGUUAGAAAUGAGGUGACAACUCACACUCUCUCUCAUCUCCGCGUAUGGCUACUCUGUAAGUUUUAAAAAGGAGAUAAUCCACAACUUCAUAAAUCCAAAACAAACAGCCUACAAGGCUAGUCUCGAGGCCGACAAAUGUCCAAUAAAAAUGCCAUCGGCAGCAACAUUCUCGAAAUUUGAAGAAUUAUAAUCCGAAAACAUAAAAAUUAACAUUAUUAUUAUAUUAUUUAAAUAAUAAUUUAUUAUAUAUAUAGAGAACAAGGGUAUAAUAAUCUUUUGCUAUUUAAUGAAGAUGGUAUAUUUAAAAAUGUCCAUUUAGUGUUGGUAAAGAUUAAAAGUGAUACCAUGAAAAUGGUAAACAUGAAAUUUUUCCAAGAAAGAUCUUCUAUCUUUUUAUUAGGAAAGAGAUAUUUGGUUUUUAAUAUUCUAAGAAAAUUAAUUUAACCAAAAAAUAUUUUUAAAAAUAUGAAGCAAAAGUUUAUAAAAUUGGAAUUUAUGUAAAAGAAAAUUUCGUUUCUAAUCAAUUUACUUGUUCAAAAAUCUAUAAAAUUAUUGUAUUUUAAAUAUUAAAGAGAUGACAUGUUCAUAUAAAAUAUCUUUUUGAUAACAAUGUGAUUAUAAAAGAGUUAAUAAAAAUAGAAAAUAGAAGAUACUACUAGAUAUUGCCUUUUUAUAUGAAAUUCCUUUUUUAUAACAAUGUGGUUAGAAGAAAAAUUUAUUAAUAAAAAGAAAUUAUAAAGUCUUAUUAAUGGUAAUUAUAAUAAUAAACUUAAUUCAUUAAGGAUAUCAAUGUAAUAAACAACUGUAAGAGUUAACAUAAACGCGACACAUAAGAAAAUUUAGUUAAAAAAUAUUUUUUAACAUAUGAAGCAAAAGUUUAUAAAAUUGUAAUUUAUAUAAAAGAAAAUUUCGUUUCUAAUCAAAUUACAAAUUCAAAAAUCUACAAAAUUAUUGUAUUUUAAAUAUUAAGGAUAUUACCUUUUAUAUAAAAUUUGUUUUUGAUAACAAUGUGGUUACAAAAAUAUUAAUAACAAUAAAAAUAGAAAAUAAUAAUAGAUAUUCAAUUUUUAUAUGAAAUUCCUUUACUUAUAACAAUGUGGUUAGAAGAAGAAUUUAUUGAUGAAACGAAAUUCUAAAAUAAAUAAUGGUAAUUAUAAUAAUAAACUUAAUUCAUUAAGAGUAUCAAUGUAAUAAACCACUGUGAGCGUUAACGUGAGUGCGCCACAUAAGAAAGUGACUUGUCAAACAAUAAACUUAAUUCAUUAAGG